rnacentral:rRNA from 1 species
UACAGAGGUCUCAAGCGUUGUUCGGAUUCAUUGGGCGUAAAGGGUGCGUAGGUGGCGCCGUAAGUCAGGUGUGAAAUUUCGGAGCUUAACUCCGAAACUGCAUUUGAUACUGCGGUGCUUGAGGACUGGAGAGGAGACUGGAAUUUACGGUGUAGCGGUGAAAUGCGUAGAUAUCGUAAGGAAGACCAGUGGCGAAGGCGGGUCUCUGGACAGUUCCUGACGCUGAGGCACGAAGGCUAGGGGAGCAAACGGG